UCUUUCGUUACCUCUGUCUUGGAAGGCAGCCUAAAGGCCCUAAACUAUUCAACAACAGGGACUAUUAUCACAAAACUUGAGUACUAACAACAUAAAACAUGUCAUCGUCGCGUUUGGUAGAUGACAAAUAUUUAAUUAAUCAACUUACUUAACCUCCACACGACCCAUUCCAAAUGUAAGGUUCAAGUGGACCUAACGUAGAUUGCCAAAUGAAAAGAAAUAUUCAUAUACCCGAAAUCUCCUCAUUACAUCCACGUGGAGAGAUAGAGAGAAACAUUGUAAACUUCCAUUGCAGCUAAACACUUGUGAGUUACUGAAUCACGUAACAUCCAUUUACAGCAUGUACUGAUUUUUAGGGGGAGAUAUUCUACGGGAAGGGCGAUUCUAGAGCAAAAUUCUGCCACAAGAAACUGCGAGUUCUCAGCGAAUCUUCAAAGCAACCGAUGCCAAAUCGCUGGAAGGAACAUGGAGACAGUUCUUGAUAACAUACAUAUUGCAAAACUCAUGGAGAGAACACAGUUUCAAAAUGAUUCCGAGUGGUCUUGAAUCUUGGACCUGUAGUUAUGGUGUCUGAAGAACUAAGUUUAGUUCUUGAGCCUUUCUAGCUAUGAGACCU
rnacentral:lncRNA from 1 species